UCUCUCUCUCUCUCUCUUCUUCCCUACCUCAAAAAAAUUAAAUAAAAUCAAAACGCCAUUUCUUCAAUUUUUGUUCCUUUCUUGGAACCCUUUAACCUUAAUUUCGCCGUCAUCAUCCCAAAUGUCACCCUGAAAUUAUCAUAAAAUUUUGAUCACAACACAAAUUACAAACAGGUUGAUACAGUUGAAUUCCUGAUUUGAGUGGACAGCAACAGGAAUUUUUUAAGGGAAGUUCGUCAAUCUGAGAAAAUAAUGGAUAACUGUACAUCGAUUUAGUCUGGCUUAUUGGUGUAGUUUGGGCCAAUUAGAGGAGAUUCUGGAUGCAUAUGCUAAGCAUUUGUGGGUAGCUGGGAGAGGGAGCAAGUUGCAGAAUCUUCCGGAUUUAGUUUGUGCAUACUUGAGGUUUAGAAAGAGUUGAUUCCCAAGAUUUUGUGAAGAUCUUGUCGGGGGGUUUUUGUGUUUGUAUAGGUUUUAAGGAUCUUGGGUUGCUUCUGGAAUCAUGAGGGGUGAAACUCCUGUUACUUCGGGCCAGCUGUUCAAUGUUCAGCCAAUUAAUGUUGUUCCAAGUGAUGAAAACUGUAGACAUAAUAGUGGACUUAAUGUUUCUUUGCAGACGGGUGAGGAAUUUUCUGAAGAAUUCCUUAGGGAACGUCUUACACCUAGAAGACCAGUAAUAAUUGAUGCAUUUCAGCAACAGCAGAAUAGAAUGGGCAUAAAUAUUGCUCAGAGUCGCCCUCUUGUGUAUGAGGAUCUUACUGGCCUUCUUGGCCUACAGAGAAAAGACUCUGAAAGUGGUACAGAGCUAUCUGAGUUUUCUCCUCAGGGAGGAGGAUAUGCAUUAGAUGCUGAGAACCGGGAAAGCUUUGGUGGUGCAAACAGAUAUCGUAUGGAGUAUACUACCACCGAUGGACAGCAACAAGGAAGAUUAUCUGAUGGAAGUAAUAUCGAUAGAACUCUUUCUGGUCUAUCUAUAUAUCCUUCAGAUUCCCCAUAUGCAUACCAGCCUCACAACUCUGGCUUGGGAUACACAGAUGGUUCUUUUCCUGGAAAGAUGAAGUUUCUCUGCAGCUUUGGAGGAAGAAUUUUGCCAAGGCCAAAAGAUGGGAAGCUUAGAUAUGUCGGCGGGGAGACGAGAAUUAUGUCAAUUAGGAAAAAUUUAACUUACAGCGAACUUGUCAGGAAGACAGCUGCAAUCUGUAAUCAGCCUCACACAAUAAAAUAUCAGCUCCCAGGAGAGGACCUUGAUGCACUUAUAUCUGUCUCUUCUGAUGAAGAUCUCCAUCAUAUGAUAGAGGAAUAUCAUGAUUUGGAAAGAACUUCUCAGAGGUUGCGGAUAUUCCUUAUUUCUUCGAAUGAUCCUGAAAGCCCAUGUUCUUUUGAAGCAAGGACUGGACCACAGGGUGAUGCUGACUACCAAUAUGUUGUUGCAGUUAAUGGCAUGCUGGACCCAAGUCCUUGGAGGAGCUCUAGCAGGGAGAGUCUAGGAAGCCAGAUGGGGAAUGCCUUGGAUAGUAGUCCUGUUCAAAGAGACUCUCCGAUUUCCUUUCAUCCAUUGGAGGUACCAGAUGGGGGCAGUUCCUUGAAUAGAAUGAGUAAUCCAAGCUCCAAAGUUCAGGUUUUUAAUACCCCACAGUACCCUUCUAAGUCAAUUCUUUCUUCUUCUGUGUCUCCGGUGCCUGUUCAAAUCAAUGAUCCUAGGAGUUGCUACACAAAGUUGUAUGAGGAUAUGACACGGUCUAAUGCUUAUGAAUUUAACAGUCCAAAUGCUGCCGAGCAACCAUCAUAUGACAAGUAUCAAUAUUUCAACAACACAAGCUACUAUCAUCAUCAACCACCAGAAGCAGUCCAAUUGAGAAAUUACUUUCACCCUGUCAGCCACUGUAUGGACUCCAACCAGAUUCCUGAACUGGAUCCCCAUAUUCAUAGCACUGGUAAGAGUGUUGUGGCUUCACCAUCUUGUGGUCAACUUCAAAUGGACAAAGAAAGGCAUAUGGUAAAUGAGAUUGCAAUGCAGUCUGAAAAUUUAUCUUUCCCUCAAGACACAGCUGGUGUGUUUCCUGGUAUUGGUACUUCAUUUAAAACUCACAACAGAAUGGUUCAUGCAGUAUCUCAACCACAGUUGCGACAAAAAGAGGAAGUUAAAGUCACAGUUGAAGAAAGGAACCCAUUCCCAUCAAAUUAUGUAGUAGAAAAAUCACCUUCAUAUGGUGAUUCGUCACAAAAAUGGCUGGUUCAACAACUGGAGAGCUCAGAGAAAUACCAAAAUGCUAGGGAUGAGAAUCUGUCAACACCAGAUUUGAACAAGGAAUUCAUGUGGACAGAGAAUGAAGGCACAAAUUUUAACCAAGAUAGGACACAUAAUAUGUUUACUGAUAGAAAUACAUCUAAUUCCACUCCGGUAGAAGAUAACAUUAAUCUUCAUGAAAUUGUAAGACCUGUUGAUCAAAUGCUCAUUGACUGUCCGUUGCCAGUAGAGCCGGAAGGCAACACAAGCAGAAACUCCACAUCGCAUUCAUUGACAUCCGAGAACUCCCAACCACGAGGUCAUCAAUCAGGACCUAAUGAAUCUGAGUAUCUCAUCAGAAGCCAAAAAGAGAGUGAGACUAGGGCUAAAGCAUUUAGCAGGGAUGCCAUUAACAACUCUUGUGGACUAAAAUCAUCUACACAUCAGGGAAUGGACAGACCAGUGGAUGAAUCCUGCCUGCUCUUGGACUUGAAUUAUCCUCUUAGUAAUGAUCUUUCAUUUCCUAAUCCAGCUGAUAGUGCUAAACAAGUUGGGUUGGAUACCGUCCACAAGGAAUCUGUGCAUGAUCCUGAAUUCGAAAUGGUGAAAGGUCCUCAUAAGAGCGUGAAAAAGGAGAGUCUGAAGGAAGAUUCUUCUGAGACAUCCUGUUUUCCAGAUCAGAUGUCUGUCUCUCAUCCUUCAACUGAUCAGCAUGAUGGUAUUCGACCAGAAUCAACUGUUGUUGUAGAGGAUGUAACUGAUAGCAUUCCGCCAGAUAUUCCGUCCUCCCUGGUGGUUAUCCCACUAGUGCAAGAUGAGCCAAGUGAUGGGACAGAGACUGAAUCUGUUGCCAUAGAGUCUGACCACGAGGAAGGGAAUGUUGAUCAUGAUGGUAAUGUUGACCCCCUUGGUGAUGCUGCUUUGAUUGAAAUUGAAGCUGGAAUCUAUGGCUUACAGAUAAUAAAAUAUGCUGAUCUUGAAGAACUGCAAGAGUUAGGAUCUGGUACAUUUGGAACUGUUUACCAUGGAAAGUGGAGGGGAACAGAUGUUGCUAUCAAGAGAAUUAAAAAGAGCUGUUUUGCUGGGAGAAAUUCAGAGCAAGAGCGAUUGACUAAAGAGUUUUGGAGAGAGGCUCAGAUCCUCUCUAAGCUACACCAUCCCAAUAUUGUGGCAUUCUAUGGGGUCGUUCCUGAUGGACCUGGGGGAACAUUGGCAACGGUAACUGAAUAUAUGGUUGAUGGGUCGUUAAAACAUGCACUCUUAAGGAAGGGAGCACUUGAUCGGCGUAAAAAGCUUAUGAUUGCACUUGAUACUGCUUUUGGCAUGGAGUAUCUGCAUUUGAAGAAUAUAGUUCAUUUUGAUUUAAAAUGUGACAACUUGCUAGUUAACUUGGGAGAUCCUCAAAGGCCAGUGUGCAAGGUUGGUGAUUUUGGACUGUCAAGAAUUAAGCGAAAUACACUUGUUUCGGGUGGUGUGCGAGGAACACUUCCCUGGAUGGCUCCAGAGCUAUUGCAUGGAAGUAGUAAUCGAGUUUCUGAAAAAGUCGAUGUAUUCUCAUUUGGCAUCACAAUGUGGGAGAUCCAAACAGGAGAGGAGCCCUAUGCCAACUUGCACUGUGGCGCCAUCAUAGAGCACAAGCAGAAGAAGAAACAACGAAGAAAAGGCACCUCAGCUGUGAAAUUCUGCAUUUCAUUGGGACACCAUUAUAUGCAUAUUUGAAGACAGUUAAGACGUUCCUUAGUAGCUUCUGUACAAGAAACAAAUGAGGGCAACUAGGUUCUCCAACUAAACUCUUCAAAAAAACUGGAAAGUUAAACUUACUUUUCACUCUUGGCUACUGGUUAUAUGUUUCUGAUGCAUUGUCAGAAAGCGGAUAGAACUUGAAAGAGAAACUAAAAUGCAACUCAGAUGGUUCAUGUGCAGCUACCUGAAUGGAAUCAAUUUGAAGGUUGAUAUUGAAGUUCGUAACAUGUGGGAUUGUAAAUAACACUCUCAGGCCUAGCAUCCCUGAUCGUUGUGAUCCUGAGUGGAGAAAGUUGAUGGAAGAAUGUUGGUCACCAGAUCCAGCUGCAAGGCCAUCAUUCACACAAAUAACAAACAGGCUGCGUAUCAUGUCAAAGGCACUGCAGCCAACAAGACAGAUUCGAGCUAGAAGAUAAAACUUAAAUCUUAUGUAAGUCAAAAAGACAGAUUUUGUAAGAAGAACAAAAUAUACAUACAAAGACAGAGAGAGAGAGAGAGAGAGAGUAGAGAACCCCAUUCUAGCCUGCUGUAGUCAUUUGUACAGUACGGAAAUUUAGUUAAUGGAGAAACCGACUAAAAUUAAAAUUCAUGUUCUCAACUGUGCAUUCAUGUGUUUACUUUCUAACAUUUGUGUUGCUAAUUCAGUGUGAGAAUAAUAUAUGUUGACACCU